rnacentral:misc_RNA from 1 species
AACGAGGCCGACCUGCGGCUGAGUUACCUGCGGAGGGAUCAUUACAGAGUUGCAAAACUCCCUAAACCAUUGUGAACGUUACCUAAACCGUUGCUUCGGCGGGCGGCCCGGGUCCUUCCCGGCGCCCAUCGGCCCUCGCGGGCGCCCGCCGGAGGUAAACCAAACUAUUGCAUUGUAUGGCCUCUCUGAGUCUUCUGUACUGAAUAAGUCAAAACUUUUAACAAUGGAUCUCAGAUCGGA